CUGGAACAUUUUAUGGAAGAACCGUUAGGCCAUAAAUGAAUCCUCAGGUACUCUGCCAAUAUACAUUGUCGCCAAGGUUGCCAUGUGUUCCUCUCGUCGGUCCAUCGGGUGCGAAGUAUGCCGACCGGGAUACCAUCCUGCCCGAGGUGUGUGUGUGUGUCCUGGUCUCUGAUGUGAUUUACGUUACAUCCGCACUACCGCGUUUCGGAUACGAAAGACUGUUGAACAAUACCGUCUCUAUUAAAGGCAGAUUCGUACUGCUUGUUCAUUGUCUACGCUUCUGGACUACAAGCGAAUCCUAAAAUAGUUGAUUUAAUGAUUGUUCUCUCCUUGAAGCAUAAGUAAUGCUAGAGAUAUUUGGCAAAAAAUGGAGGCUAUAUCUGCAAUCGCCACUGAAAAUAGCGUAACUGCUACACACAUACGUAAGUAUAAUACAUGGCAUAAACCGCUACAAUGCUUAUAGCUAUAUCGAAGAAGAUACUCUAUACGUAACAAUUUUCUAACCCCCACAUGACCAAACUAUAAUCUUGGGCAACAGUGUAUACAAAGCCGUAUUAUACAUGUACGAUGUAUAUGUACAUAUUUUGCUCACUGUCAACAAUAUACAAGAAGGAUACUUUUACGUAUCCCUACAAGGAUAUUUUAAAAGCAAUUUUUGUAUCUCAAUACUUCAGAUAGAAGAGAUAAUACCAAAAUUCUACAGGAUAUUUUGUUGUACGUAACGAAUAUAGCAGGGACAGAUUUGGCAAACAAGAAAAGCAGCUUAUAUAAAUAUACAUAUACGCGAUGUGAUCUUAUUUUCGAGUUAUUUAUGGCUUAUUUGGUUAUCAUUCGUAUGUAUCAGUUGUAGAACGGUACAUUAAAAUCAAUUCAUAAGUGAGAAGAAUUUUUUAUUGCAUAAAGACGAAUAAAAAAUUUCUCUAUAAUGUAUGUAAUUAUUUAGACAAAAACGGACGAAU
rnacentral:misc_RNA from 1 species